GCGCGAAUGGUGUAAAGGCAGCCACAGAGGACUUGAGUAUAGCCAGCGCUUUGGUAGGGGCAGCACCUAUAAUACUCACCAAAAAUCCUCUGGUCGAGAGACCGUGUGGGUUCGAAUCCCACUUCGCGCA
rnacentral:tRNA from 1 species